rnacentral:rRNA from 1 species
UAGAGCAUAAAAAUUUACUUUUAUAGAGUUUAAUAAAAUUUAGUUAUAUAAAAAAAAGUUUGUGCAAGAUUAAGUAUUUGGGUUAAGAAAAUACUCAAGCUAACGAUCUUUAGUUGGUCUAGAAGGAUGAACAACCACAUUGGAAUUGAGAUAAGGACCAAACUUUUAUAAGGCAGCAGUGGGGAAUAUUGGGCAAUGAGCGAAAGUUGACCCAGUUAAAUUAUUUAUAUGAAGAAGGUGUCAAAUCGUAAAAUAUAAGAAAUUUAAAAUUGUGAUUUUAAAUUUUUCAUAGUCCUGGCUAAUUUCGUGCCAGCAGCCGCGGUAAUACGAAAAGGGCGAGCGUUAUUCGGUAUUAUUAGGCGUAAAGAAUAUGUAGGUUGAAAUUUAAUUAAUUUGUAAAAAACUAUUGAAUGAAUUCUAGGUGGCAUCUUAAAAAAAAUUUCUCGAGUUUAAAAUAAGAUUUUGGAACUUUAAAAGGAACGGUAAAAUGUUUUGAUAUUUAAAAGAACUUCAAGAGCGAAAGAGUAAUCUAAUUUAAUACUGACACUCAGAUAUUAAAGCGUGGGUAGCAAAAGGGAUUAGAUACCCCUGUAGUCCACGCCCUGAACCAUGAUUGUUAUCCUUUAAAAUUGUUUAGAGGUUGAGUUAACAUACAGAACAAUCCGCCUGGGAACUACGAUCGCAAGAUUAAAACUCAAAGGAAUUGACGGGGACCUACACAAGCAGUGGAGCAUGUGGUUUAAAUCGACAACCCGCGAGUAACCUUACCAAUUUUUGCAUAUCAUAUUAAAUUGAUACAGGUGUUGCAUGGCUGUCGUCAGUCCGUGCUGUGAAGUGUUUGAUUAAUUUCAACAAACGGACGAAACUCUUAUAUACAAAAUAUAUACAGCUAGAGAUAUUCUAGAGGAGGGAAAGAACAACGAUAAG